AGGUAAGCACCGUUGCCACUGAUAGACAUAGAGAGCCACAGAGGACUUCUUCUAUCAGCGCCCGGGGUCUCUCGGUUGCUGGCCCAGGGAUCCACCCCCAUUUCCUGAGCAUGGCUGCUGACGAAGUUUGUCAUCUACAUGAGGAUGGUGGAGGGCACCACAGGAGGAGAAACAGCCUGCAGAGCUGGACCGUGGCAUACUUGGCCCACAGCAGAGAAGAGGAAGAGGACACACCUGCAGACCCCUCUGAAGUGAGGAGAGAAUCCUCUUGGUCCUCCAACCUUCUCAGGGUAGACCUUGACCUUUCCCAUCAAGGUGCGUGACCACCUGCCCUUCACCUGCGGGGCAGCCGUCCAGACAGGCUCCUUAGCCCUCUGCUGACUGAGUCCCUCCAGCCCAGCCUGGCUCGUGCAGUCGGGCAGAAGCAGAGGUACAACUUGGGUUCUUGAGUCAUCUGACAUGCAUUGAAUUCUGCCCUGCCGUCACGUUGCAGAUUCAUUCAAAGUGAAGCUGAGGUUUUCCACAGUGAAAUGUCUGACGAGAGAGCAGCACCCUCCUCCAUGACUUCUUCGGUCCAGCAGACAUGCCCACCACCGUCCUCAUGUCAUCCACGCAAACAGUGAUGUGGUAAAGAAGGAGAAAGGGCAAGCACAUUUUAGCAUCGUUUUCAAAAUGAUUCUGACCUUGCAGGCCUUCCCCAAAGGGUCUCAGGGACCGUGAGACCACCAGGUUUCGUCACAGUGACUUAACAGUGCCGGGCUUGGCAUGGCGUCCCUGGUACCCAGCACAAAGUCAGACCUCAAUUCAUAUUUAUGGAGUAUUUGUUCCUGGCUCAGGAAGACGCUCCCGUGGCAAUGACGCUGCCCCAGGUGGCCGUGGGACCUCAGCAGAGCUGUAAGUUAGCGUUUUCCACGCCCCUCACCCCCCACAUCUGCGGGUUCCCUGGGUCCUGCUGGUGGAGACGGGGGUUCUGGCACCAGGUCUCUGUCAGCCGUCCAAGUGUCUCUCCUUUGCCCUGGGCCAGUACACUAGCCAGCGUCGAGUGCAGGCCCUUCCAUGGGCCCUCGGAGACUCUGGGAGAGUCUCUCUGCUACUUCCUUCCAGGUAUUUUUGCCAACACAAGUCAGAUGGCCACGCCCCAGGUCAGGGGGCUGGGAGGCCCACAUGGCCACUAUGAGCUCCCAGCAGAGAUGUGGAUGCAGGGAUGUGGGGGUGUAGGGUUGAGGCCACCUGCUCACAGGGGGACCAGAGUCUUCCUGCUGUGAGAACUGAAAAUCCCACAUCCCCUCUGUCCCUGGCAAAUUGGAAUCAUUGGUGCUGUAGCUUGGAUCUUAAGUGACCCCAAAAGCCUAUGUGGUAGAGGCUUGGCCUCCAUUGUGGCAUCAGAAGGUGGUGGGUCCUUUAAAAGGCGGGGCCUAGUGAGAGAUCUUCAGGCUGUUGGGUGAGCCCUGGAAGAGAGCAGUGGGACCCCAGUCCCUUCCUCUUCUCUUUUCUCAUUUUGGCCAUGAGAUGAGGGUCUGCCCUGCCAUCUGAGCUUGACAUGAUGUGCUGCCUCACCAUAGGCUCAAAGCAGCAGUCAGUAGGCCACAGCCUGGAACCUCCAAAACUGUGAGCCGAGAUGAACCUUUUAUCAUUGUAAAUUGAUUGUCUCAGGUGUUUUGUUGUAGUGACAAAAUACUGUUUAACACAAGUGAUCAUCUUAACCAGUCUGCAGUACACUUCAAUUUGUAAGCAAGUAGAGAAUGUUAUACUAUAGGAACUGGUCUCACUUUAACAUUUUUCUUCUCUUUUGAGCACUUGGGACUUUAGAUCAAAACAUCGAGAGUUGUCUGGUCUGGGAGAGUGGUAAAUACUAAGUAUCCCAGGCCUCCUUAGAUGAAAAUAUUCAAUGCAAAACCUUUGCUUAUAAUGGAUAGGAUGUCUCAAAAUACAUCUUUCAUCAAUAUCUUGACUCUCCAUUUACAAAACACAUAUUCCACAUGUAUAGAAUCAUCAGAUCACAUGUGAAUAUCAUACAUUUUGCUCUAAGAGAUUUUUAAACCAUGUAUUAAGAAAAUACAAUUUUAAAUAUAUGCAUCCUGUAUCAUGUACAUGUGACAAACUAUGGUAGGAAUCUCUUAGAUUUGCAACUAUCUUUUACCAUUUUCUUCAAUUUGGCUCAUUUGGACCCUUCAUCAUACAACUAUAAAAACAAGAUGAUAUUGUCACUGGUGCUAUGUAACUGGCAUCUCACUGGGCCAGGGAGAGCGCAUCUCAAGGUGUGGCGUAAGCGAGGGAUGUUUAUGGAGUACUAAUGACCUUGGGCAUUGAAGCUGAGAGACGGAACAAAUUCAUGGGGUUCCACUGUCUUUAGCAGUUACAACGCAAGGGGGAAAUGAUGAGUCAGCUAGAGCAUGCUCUGAGAAUUGAGCCCUGCAUGGGGAGACAGCAGAACCACCCGGGAGUGGAGAGCCACCUGCCUGUUUCUAGGAGUGGGGAUGAGAAUGACCAACAUGGACGGCCCUGCAUUGCCCUUGAGAUAUGGGACCUGCUGUUCAGAGAGGCACUUCCCAUGGGUGGUUUUCCCAUUAUGCAGUACAUCUCUCCUCAUCCUUCUUCAGGGAAAUUAUCUGUAAUGCGUUAGACCUGCUCUAUAAUUCAGGUGGUAAAUAACAGUGUUGCACGAGUUCAAAAGAGGCUUCAAAAAAGCCACUGGUGCUUAGAAAGAGGCCCUAUUAAAAAAUGUAGAAGCCGGUGCAUCUGCUCUCACCCUCCAACCAAGAUGAAGAUUUAUUCCAAAGACAGAAAGAGGCUUCGAUGGAAAUUUAUCAAAAUGAAAUCAUUAGACAUACGCUGGGCUUUGAGCCUGUUGUCAUUCACGGUCACUCUGGGCACGAGUGAUUGACUAUUCAGUGCAGAAGAAUAAAACCUCACCGUCCCAACACCACCAAGAUCUCUGUGUAACUGAGGUUGGCUGCCCCAGUCCUGAUUAUUUAGAGCAACUUGAAGAGGAGCUUGGAGCUGGCAAAGGCUUGUGGGUGGGUAUAUUUAAACCUCACCUCAGCCCUGGAAGUUAGUGAAAUACUUGUUCUCAUUUUACAGAUGAGCAAGUGGCUCAGAGUGCCCAGGUGAUUUGGCCAACAUAACAUAGCAUCCGUGUUGGGAUCCAUACCGUGACCUUGGAUCCAGGUCUCUGUCUGUGCUUACUAUAGGGUAGAAAGUUUGACCCCCUCAGAGGCUUCCUCCGAGGUCCUUUGACAUCUCCUCCUGCAAGCUUCCGUCACGUGAUUCACAUGUCUUUCUCGCCCAGCUUCUAGAUGGUACGUUCCACGACUGCUGGGCUUUGGCCAGUGUGGGUCAUUGUGUGAGGUCCAGGGAGAACCUGGCCCACAGAAUGUGCCCUAAGAAUGUUCACUGGAUCCAUGAAGAACAGGAGGAAGGGCCUUCAGUGAACCCAGAAGAUGGACCUGGCUCCCAUUAAAUCACCUCGUAGUGGGCAGGGGGUCCCUCCCCUUCUCAGGCCCCUCUCCCCCAUCUCACCCCGUCUCCUCCAGGCCCUGCCCCCUCCAGGUUCCUGCUCCCUCUUGAGUGCACAGGAGGAGGCCCCACCGCUCGGACCUCAGAGCAAGGCCCCCAGAGCACUCUGCUGCCUCCCGGGCACUGGACGCCUCUCCAGACUCAGCCUCCUCCGUGGCCAUUGCCCGUCACCUCCUGUCUCUCUUCUGUUGUCUCCAAGACCACGUUCCAUAAAGAAAUGUUCCAUAAAGCACAAGAGAAGAGAGCUCUAAGGGCCUCAGUUUUAUACUCACAGACGCAGCUACACCAGGCUGCAAGGCGGGGACUGAGGGUUUCAGGAGUGAAGUGUCCCCAGAAAAGGGACAUUCAGUGUCUUUGAUAGCUACCCAUAGUAAGCAAACCACUUGCCAUUGAGAUCUAGCACAGCUCUCCUCUGUCUCUCUCACCGUCUCUGACACACACACACUUGUAUUUCUGAAACAAACAUUGAUGAAACAAUAGCGGUCGAUAUCUGCAGGGUUGCCUUCUGGCAUUUUCUGUUCUAUUCUAUGUGAGUUUUUAAAACAUCAGUCAAGCCCAGUAUAAGGGUGAACACCUGUAUUCCAGCUACUUGGGAGGCUCAGUCAGGAGGAUCCCAAGUUGGAGGCCAGCCUGGGCCAACAGUGAGACUCCACCUACCUACAUAAAUGGAUAGAUAGGGUAGUAUCUUCCUUGCAUACCUCCUCCUCCAGGACACAGCCGGCAGCAGAAUCCCAGGCCUCACACAAGCCCCCAAGCUAGAGUAUCACCCAUGCUUCCCCAGCCCACCGUGUGGGUGUGGAACACCAUGUCGUCGUAGGCUGGCACUUCCCUGCUUGGUGAACACAGGACGGUUGACUAAACAGCGGUGUGUAAGGGAGGAUGGACUGUGUUGCCCUGCAUGCUAUUGGUGUCUUCAGUAGGAGAAUUGAAACUGAUGACCGUAGCAGGAAAAAGGUUGAACAUAGUCCCUACUCUUUCCCCAUCGAAGAAGUUUCCGAGGCCUGCACUCUGGUGAGCACAGAAACUGACUUGUCUGCAAAGUGAGUUUACAGAGUGUCCCCCACACCUGUGGACCCCAGCCCUCAAUCCAGCUACCACAAGAUACAGCACUUUGUAACUAAAUGUCAAUCCCUGAAAGGUGUAUCCUCUGCCCAAACAGGGUUAUGCCCACUGAAGGGGUGCCCCAGAGCAGGGCAGCCCAUGACAGUGUGCAGGUUUUAGAUCAGACUGUAGCACAAGGGGCUCUCAAUGGCUGGAGCAGAGCUUAUAAGGAUGUGGGGCGAGGGCCCUCCUGAUUCCAGACCCACCACGUCAUCGUCAUGGGCUGGCUCGGCAGUCCUUACAGGCACAGGUGAAGGGAGGGCGACAGGUGUUGUGACUCUCAGGAUGCAAAUAUGGAACCUGAGCUCAGAGGGCUGGUCCACCCAGACAAAGCAGCUCUGCUUCCCAUGUCCACUUGCAAGAGGGGCUCCGGCCCCAGGGCUGCGGUUCCGGGACGUCAACUCCCCACAGUGUGUACUACCAAAGGGCCAGAAGUAACGUAGGGUCCUUUGGAAGAGAAAAAGUUGGACAGAUCUCCUAUGUCCACCUGUGAAAGAUCAUGCAGUUAUCUGAAAUAAGAACUUAACAUCUAUAGAUACUCAGAAAAGCAAGUUGGAGAAAAAUUGUAUUGCAUCAUCCCAUUUUUUUAUUUAAAAUAAAGGAAGAUAUGCAUUUAGGUAAAAUUACUUGCAGGUGUCCACAGGAGGUUGGCAAAAGAUAGAGAUGGAUAGAUACUAAAUUAUUAAUAUUGCUUAUUUGAUGACAGAUGUGCUACAGCAAUAGUCAAGAGAGAUAGAAGGAUAGAUAAUUGGAUUUUUUCAUUAUAGGAUUUCAUUUGUUUCCAAAAACAAUAUCUUGCCAUUUAAAAGUUAUGAAAAUAUUGAAACAACACUAGAAAAUUAUUUUUUUUCUUCUAGUUCUGUUUUAAGUGCAGUGAUCCUCCCAAGGUCACCUCAGUUGGGAGACUGGUGCACAUUUUGACCCCAGGGUAUGUCAUUGCAGAGACGCCACCAGCGUCUCUUCUGCAUCAAGCAUGUGUAUGAUUUUGCAUCCAGAAAACUAGUGUUGGGUGAACACACAUAGCAAAGAACAGAAUAAUGACAUGCAAAAAUACAUGGCCCAAAGUAUUGUUGCUUCCUCAGUGUUUAAUGCAAAUUUAAACAUGUGAAUCAAAGACUGCAAUGUUGAGGAACACAGUGCCGGUGGUAUUUGGCAAUAAAAUAAUAAUCACCGUGUGUAUCUCUGAUGAAAUGAGAUUUAAUCCAUUUGUGUUCCUAAUUGUCUGCCACACUACAUUAGAGAUGGAUACCUCUAUUGUCUCCACCACUUGGAAAUAUGAAAUUCAAAGCAAUAUGCCCAAUGUCUCGAAAUAAGCUGGCUUAAUGAACCAGCAAAUUAGACCUUUCUAUCUCUUUAUUUAACAUCCAGUUCCAUGAAUGUAUCUGAGUUCAUUACAAAGGUACAAAAUUUAAAGAAAUGUGGCUAAAUUCAUUUGUGAUUAGAACGAAUGACUUUGAAAAGGAUUUUUAGAGAGAGCCUAUUAUUUAUUAUUGAAUUUAUAUGAAGUGGGGUGAUAAACGUUUAUCUUUUUUCAAUUCUGUUUUAUAGUUUGGCUUUUGUAAUGCAGUCACCAAAAAAGAAAAAAAAAUCAUCGCAAGUAAAGAAAUCAACUCCUCCCCCCCAACAAUGACAGUCAGAAAAAACAUUGGCAAAUAUUCCUUUGUGACCUGCUGUCAAUGGUUCUGAAUGGGAGGGGGAGGACUUUGGUUAGCCCUAGAGGUCAUAUGGCAAGGGCACACUCACUCCUGGGGCAGUGGGUACUGCUUAUAUCCCGUGGUGCAGACCAGGGAUGCUGAUAGACCCCCUGCAAUGCCCAGCACAGCCCUGAAGCACAGGGUCAUCAGGCCUGUAGGGUCCAUGGGACUGGACCCGGAAACCUGAGCUCAGGGAACGUGUCUCAUUCAAAGAAUGUUCCGCCUCCUUCAGUGUCUUCUAAAAUGAAAUUGUUUUCCACCUUGUCACAGAGGCUGAGAGCAAGGCCAACUAAAGCAUGGAUCUGGUUCAAAUUACUUUUUUUCCCCCAAUAAUUACAGUAAUGAUGACUUUAGCAUCUGCAAUAAAGAUGAUAGAUCUCAGUGCCACAGUGCAUCCCUUGAAUCUGGAUUAGGGAAGUGACUUUAAUUGGCCCGAACAUUUGUAUUAUCUUCAAAAGAGAGAUCUUUCCCAUUGUAAACCCAAAGCAUCUGAUGAUCUAACAGGCUUCAAAACAUUGGCAUAUUGGCUCAAGGUGUUUCAAAGAAAUCUAUUUGGUUUUCUGAUGCAGAUGAGAGAAGUCAGUAAUCAGAGGGUUUCUGAGUCCAAGGCUGAAGUAGAAAUUAGUGGAAUUGCUGGUUCACUUGAGCCUGCAUCUGCUUGGGACUUAUGGUCUACAGUCACCUCAAGGUAGAAAUUCCACACUUUCCACGGAGGUCUAUGCGAGGAAUCUAGUUAAUCUGAUAGAAUUCAACCCAUGGUAACAAAUGAUCACACUUUUUGUAGGCCUUAUUUAUUUAAGGAAAAGCUCAUCAACAUGAGGUAUCAUAAAGAAGAAGAAGAAAAGAAUACGGAAAUCAUCCUCAUCCAAAAGAAAAUAACCAGCACCUGGAACUUCCUGUUGUGGUGUAGCUCUCUGAGUACCCACCGGCCAGCCUUCUCCAUCUCUCCGGCCCCAGCCCCUCUGACCACCUGCCCUCAGCUUGUAUGAGAUCAACCCCCGUGUUCCACACGCACCACGUAGCAUUUGUCUGUCUGCCCUGGGCUUACUUCACUUGCCGUGAUCUCCAGUUCCAUAUAUGCCGUUCCAAAUGACAGGACAUCAUAAAACGGCCAAGUCAUAGUCCACUGUGGGCAUGUGACACAUUUUAAAAUCUCUGUCCAUCCGGCGAUGGGCUCUUCGACGAUCCAGCCUGACUUCUUCGAAUAAGGAACUGCUUAGUGAAUGGAGCUCACCCGACAGUUCACCAGGGGCCAUCCCCAGUGUCCUCUGUGCAGAACGGCUUCUAAAAUAACGUGGGUUCAAAAGCUUCCAAGGAAUAUUUUUACAGUCUGUUCCACUGGAUGAUAGAGGGAAAGGGGCCUCAGCUGGUGAUGUGUCUCCUUAAUCAUCAGCAAUAACACUUGAAAUUGAUACGGUGCCUCCAACUUUGCAGAGCACGGCCGGCUCAUUUCUCAGCUGAUGUACUUGGUGUCUUGUGCUAUGAUUUCCAACCGACUGUCCAGAACAACCGGCAGGCGUGUUUUAAAGAAGGGAGUGCUGAGCGGUGCUAGGAAGGGCUCUGGGUGGUGAUGAUGAGAUCCACGGAAAAUUUUAGUAUCCAAGAUACUAUUUAAUCUGCCUGGUGGUAUAUGAAGGAAGAACACGAUGGAUAACGUGAAUUUUUAAAAAUUUGUGUCCGAGUAUAAAAAUGAAGACUAAAGCCCAGUAGGAAUGACCCGGGAACCUUGCUGUGCACCUCCCUGUGAACCUGGGUAAUUGAGAACUCACUAAAAUCCUUCUAGAAAACACGGAAAGGGGGUUGAGAACUAGCAGAGGGCUUUACUUGGCCUUUGAAAGUUCCACGCCAUGUCUGGCUAAAGAAGCAUCUUUCUUUGGAUUAUAAAAAGAAAAAAAAAAUUUUUCUCCUCCUCCUCAUAAGAAACCAAUAGCUGUGUCGGCAAACCCUUCCACUAUAAAACUUGCUAAAUAGUGUUUAAAGCAGCAGGAGAGCAUUUGUCUCCCCACUCUCUGUGGCUGUUUGGAAUUGUGUGAGUUAAGAUCAUAUGGCACAUUUUACCAUUAUGUGACAAAGGAAGGCCCAAACUCUUACAAUAUAUGAGACUCUGAGCCUAUAUUUAGAUAUUUCACUAUGUAAAAAGGCAAGUUUGCAAGAUGAAAUUAAUGGGGUGGGGGGAUGUGCUUAGGCAAUUCUGGAAGGUCAAUCAGAGAAGUCGGGCCAUUCCGUGCGGCAUUCCCAGCCAGGUCAGAGACUUGGAGGUGCCUUUGUCAGUGAAAGACCCACUCGGACGUAAAACAUCCACUGAGUCCUAUGCUCACGUUAGAAAAGAGAAGGACGGUGCUGGAACCGCGAGCUGCCCCGUCAGGGUACCAUCCUGCAGCCCUGGUUCUGAUCAGUACAGAGGAUCCUGUCUGGACUCACUCAAAGGUCGCCAUUUGUUUUUCUCGGUGGGUUGCAUUUCCACGGUUCCAGCCACUCCUGGUUCAAUCUGUUGACGCACAGACCCUCGCACCAGAUCAGAAGUCUGUUCUUUUUCCAUCUGCUCAGCAGAAUUACUGUUGUCGCAGCCCGGCGCCCCGAGAAUGACAUGUCUGUGCCUCUCUCCUCCGUGUCUCCAGUCUGCCAUAGCAGCGACACGGCACUGCCCAGCUCCAGAAGCCACACGCACACGGUAGUCUUAACGACACGCUGUGAACCUGCCCGUAAGUGGUGCCCAGGGAGGGAUACGCAUCCUCUGGAAUUAGCUUGAGCCGUGGAGCUCAGUGCAUGCAGCAGUGCCGCCCAGGAGUGUGCGAGUGUUUGUCCACGCUGGGCUCUCCCCCUCCACCUUUAUGAGGCCACCUCUACCUCGACCCUGGCCCUGCAGGGCCUCCCCAUCCACGCAUUCGAUGGGAUCCAUCAGAUUGGACAUUCUGAAUGGCCCAGCAUGGGUCCCCUGCCUGCUUCCUGGUCCAGCCAGCUGUGGCUACAGAAGUGGUUUUGUGUAAGACACUCUGGGAAGCGUGCACCUGGGAGCAGGUGGAGAGCUGGAUCCCCCAGGGGUUCUGAGACUCCUAAACACCUGCUCUUCCUAACAGUGGCCCUGCCUUCAUGCAGGACGUCUCAUUAUUCAUUUUUAAAUCUGUCAAUUUUCCUCCCCGAGAACAAACUCCAGCUUCCUGAUCCCUUAGAGUCAGGUGUGGCCCUGUGACUCCCCUCAGCCAGUGGGGAGCUGGGGACAGCUGUCACCUGUGAGCGGAAGUUGUGGGAGCUCUUGAACUCUUGCCCUUUGUUCCUUUCUUCUGGCAAAAGGAAGAGAUGCUAGUGCUCACUGCCAUUGUCAAUGCGGUGUCAUCGAGGUUUGUCAUUUCGUAUGACACCUUCUCCUACUCUGUGGUUAUGCCGUGGCGACUCUUGAUUCCACGGUGUUCUUAUAAAGAGUGUUGAUGCUUCUGUCUUAGUAGGUGGUUCACUUGGGCCAGCUCAGGCUGAGAGCGAGGCCAGCAGCCCACAUCUCCCCCUUCUCCUGCCUUCCUUGCAAGCUGCCAGCUCUGCUCACGUGAGCGCCGUCCAGGAGUCUGAUGGCCCUCUGAUCUGGCUGUCUCCUCUCUGGGACUCUUGUCACUUUCUAGCAGCACUGGUUGUCUUGAUGGGUCAGGCCAGAAAGGUGGCCGCUGUUUCGUGGAAUUUCAGUCCAUCCAUACUGUGACCUGGAGCUGUUCUCUGCAGAAGGGCAGUCUAGUAGGACCUACAGAGCCACAGUGGAGAGGGAGCAGACUCUGUCCAGGCUGAGGGCCCACAAGGAGGGCUUGAAGUAGACUUCUGGGUAGAAAGCCAUUGAGGCAUAUUUGUCUCUUCACUAUAACUUACACUCAUACUGACUGAUCAGCCCACUAGAACAAUCCAGAAUGUUACUGUUUAAUCAUUUCCCACUAUGCUUAUGAAACCUGCUCAAGGACUAACAAAUUUCCACAAAUCUUUUUGAUUCUAUGAGAUUUGCUUUUCCUACUUUGCCUGUUCAGAUCCUGCACAUGGUAUUCUUUCCUUCUCCAUUUUCUCUGCAAUCAUAAAAAAGGUAAUAUUUCUUAAAUUUGAAACAUAUUCUUGAUUCCGUGGUGCAUGUUCCUGCACAAGGAAACAAAUCAGAGGAUAGACUUGGUGUGCAUGUGCCUUGGGUAAGUCAUUUCUUGCUGUCCACACAGUCCCCACAUCUCGAAAUGAAAAAAUCUUAUGCGUCAUAGCUCAGAUGUUUCUUUCUCCUUUAAAAUUAAAAUUAGUCCAUGAUUCAUCGAAAAAUUUUUGUGUCACUCUGGAACCCUAAAUGAUGAUUCAAUUUACAAAAAUGUGAUUUAUAUGCAAAUUUGAGGGAAAUGGGUCCCUGGAUAGGGUCAUGGUGUGUUUUCCCUUCCAAAGAUCCUGUUGAAGAAUAUAAUUAAAGUAAAAAAAAAAUUGAUAUAAUCUCAUGUAUAUUUUAAAUUCUAAAAGUAAUUGCACUAUCAUGGCUUCAAGGUCAGGCUAUCUUCUAAAAGUGCUCAUUACCAGGUUCUUAGCCUUCUUUCAAAACCAACACGGGCCCAGUCUAAGAACAUGUCAAGAAAGGUCAGUAGAUGCCGAGGUAAAUCAAUUUGCAUAGGCGGCAAAAAUGAGGGGAGUUGUUCCCACGGCUUCUAAUAAAAGCAUAGAGAUAUGUAAAACAUGAGAGCUCGUUUGCAGAGGCAAACACAAUACAGUGAUCUAUAAAUACUUCAUAAUCCCAGCCCCACGAGCGCUCAUUGUUUGGUGGUUCUCUCUAUUAUGAGUAAUCAUGGGUUGCUUUCUGUUUGCUUCUGGCUUUUCCUGCUCAUCGUCUCUGGAACGGCACCCACUCAGUUCUUCCUUGUUCACCUCCUCCUGGUGCGUGGAGGGUCCACGCAGUCGUCGGACAAGAACUCAGAUGCAUGCAGAGCUGAACGUUGAACACACAGGGUGCCUCUCUAGAGUCGAAGCACAUGGUCCAGGAGACCUGGAAACCAGAGCCCUACAGGAGACAGGACCACCUAGGCAACGUCCAGGAAGACCGUGCAUCCCACAGCACUCAGCCAGCAAGGAGCCAGGUGAGCUAACUUGCUGCUCAUCACGCCCUGGGAGUCCCUGGCCACUAGUCACCUGGUCUCACAGAUGUCAUGAAAGCCUCGCUUUCCCUGUACCUUGGUCUCUCAGUCCAUUCUUCCGGUUGGGACAGAGUCUCUGUAUGAUUCUGGUGUAAGGAGCACUGAACUAGGAAGAAUGGGAAGGCGGCAGCAAAGUUACCAUUUGUAACAGUAUCUACUAAGAUCAUUCCAGCUGGCUCAGGAGGACCUUCCUCCUCAGGGUACUGUGCUGCUCAGAAGAUUCUGGUUCUCUUCACAAACCUGAGAAACCUGCAGAUCUGCCUGGCCUGUCUCCUUCAAGACAGGCUGUCACAUGACCUGUGUGGGUCACUGGGGAGAAAACAGAGGCUGAAAGAGGUCAAGGGGCUUGCCCAGUGGUCACAGAGAUUUCCUGUCCAGGUCCACCUGACUCAUGAGUACAUACCCUGCUGGAUCACGCCUUCAGUUCAUCAAAGCCUCAGCCACCGUGGGGAUGC